AAAAACAUGAUAAAAGGACUAAAAAUAGAAAAUCCCAGGUAGAAGAAUCCAAAACUCUGAUUUCUGGAGCUCCCAAAGACGGUUGCAGCAGCUCCUCCCUCAGAAAAAUAGCGUCCUCCUCCUCUCUAUUUAUAAUUUUUUCUUUUCUUUUUUUUCUUCCCGUUUCCUCUUGUGGCAAAAGAUAGAAAAUGAUACUUUUAUAUGGUCCCAAAGGUUGCCCUAAAAAUAGAUAAGAGCCAAGGAGUGGAUAGGA
rnacentral:misc_RNA from 1 species